rnacentral:rRNA from 1 species
UCUUGAGACCGGGAGAGGUUAGAGGUACUCCUAGGGUAGGGGUGAAAUCCUGUAAUCCUAGGGGGACCACCUGUGGCGAAGGCGUCUAACUGGAACGGGUCUGACGGUGAGGGGCGAAACCUAGGGGAGCGAGCCGGAUUAGAUACCCGGGUAGUCCUAGGCGUAAAUGAUGCGCGUUAGGUGUAUCGGUGACCACGAGUUACCGAGGUGCCGAAGGGAAACCGUGAAACGUGCCGCCUGGGAAGUACGGUCGCAAGGCUGAAACUUAAAGGAAUUGGCGGGGGAGCACCACAACAGGUGGAGCCUGCGGUUUAAUUGGACUCAACGCCGGGAAGCUCACCGGAUAAGACAGCAGAAUGAUUGCCGGGCUGAAGACUCCGCAUGACUAGCUGAGAGGAGGUGCAUGGCCGUCGUCAGUUCGUACUGUGAAGCAUCCUGUUAAGUCAGGCAACGAGCAAGACCCACGCCAACAGUUGCCAGCAUGGUCUCCGGACUGAUGGGGACACUGUUGGGACCGCCUCUGCUAAAGAGGAGGAAGGAAUGGGCAACGGUAGGUCAGCAUGCCCCGAAUUAUCCGGGCUACACGCGGGCUACAAUGGGCAGGACAAUGGGUAUCGACACCGAGAGGUGAAGGCAAUCUCCUAAACCUGUCCGUAGUUCGGAUUGUGGGCUGCAACUCGCCCACAUGAAGCUGGAAUCCGUAGUAAUCGCGUUUCAAAAUAACGCGGUGAAUGUGUCCCUGCUCCUUGCAC